UUUGCCUGUUUCGGCUAUUCCACUUAGAUGUACCAACUUCAGCUAGGGGUUUUAUACAGACAUUAUUGCAGAUGUCCAUGUUACUAUAUUAUCUUUGCUUUAUCUAUUUUUUCCAAUCUUUUUUUCUCCGCAGUCUCUUUAUUUUCGGUGUACAUAGAAAUAAAAGUGAAAAACAACAAUUGCGUGUUGUUUGUGUGUUGGCUCCCCCCUUUGACAGAAUGGCGUCAUCCCCAGUGAAAGUUACUCGGGUGGUCUACACUUUGUUUGGCAUACCGUCUGUGAGCGUUAUCUCGUUUUCAUUCAAGUGUUUGAUAUUAAAACCUUGUACUUUGACUUAAUCACUCUAACGGACUUUAUGACCAAGCCAGCAUGUACAGGUUCGUAGAGAACAUCGUGACCU